rnacentral:lncRNA from 1 species
GGGGAUUAAGGGGUAACGUUCCUUUCUUGUAGCUAUGAGUUAAGAGCUAUUGUCUUAUGAGCUACUCUUCUUGUAGUUCUACUAGCUCUAGUUAAAGGAAUUCCUUUUCUUAUUUAUCUAUUGUUUUCCUUACGGUCUUUUAUAGAGCUAAAAGAGCUCUUUAGUCUCUCUUAUAUUGACUUACUUUAUUAUCUUAUCUAUAAAAGUAAGAAUAGAUCUUUGCAGAUUUGUAUACUAACAGUAGGUAGCUCCUUACUGAACACAUGAAAAACUUCCCUUUUAACCGGUACGCUAGCGAGGCCUCUACUCUGCUAGUUUUCCACCUGGUAUGUCUGAGCUCCUCUUGUUUUUCCUGUCUCAGAGGCCGCUAUAGAGCUCUGGGAGAGCUCUUUAGCAUAGGCCUCUACUGUUUGAAUCAGUCAAGUGAAUAGAAACUUGAGUUAGCCUGGAGAGUCAGGAAGGAAGUCAUAGGUAUGGCUUCCGACUGCUCGUCACGCCUCCGGUCUGACGGCUAAGCAACCGAAAGAAUGUCCUCCCUUCGGUCGGGCGCACUCCCCCUCAGGGGGCCGGGGGCGCACGCAAAGCAUAACCCCACUCUUCCCUCCGUAAAGCGACGAAAGCAACAACCCAAAUAUCUCCUAAUCCUCUUAACUAGCUAAAAGUAGCUCUUCUUGUCUUUAGUGAGUUCUCCUUAGGUAAGGAGGGACGAACGAGUUAAGAGAGGAGUUCUUUAGUGGAGCCUGUUGUUUAAGCCUACGGAUGUGGAAUCGGCAAUCAAAAGUUUC